AGAAUCAACGCUGGCGGCGUGCCUAACACAUGCAAGUCGCACGAGAAAGGGACUUCGGUCCUGAGUACAGUGGCGCACGAGUGAGUAACACGUGAAUAAUCUACCUCCGAGUGGGGAAUAACUGAGAGAAAUCUUAGCUAAUACCGCAUAACACUUACGAGUCAAAGCAGCAAUGCGCUUGGAGAGGAGUUCGCGGCAGAUUAGUUAGUUGGCGGGGUAAUGGCCCACCAAGACGAUGAUCUGUAUCCGGCCUGAGAGGGCGCACGGACACACUGGAACUGAAACACGGUCCAGACUCCUACGGGAGGCAGCAGUGGGGAAUUUUGCGCAAUGGGGAAACCCUGACGCAGCAACGCCGCGUGGAGGAUGAAAUAUCUUGGUAUGUAAACUCCUUUCGAUGGGGAAGAUAAUGACGGUACCCAUAGAGAAGCCCGGCUAACUUCGCGCCAGCAGCCGC
rnacentral:rRNA from 1 species